UUUUUAUUUAUAUUUUAAAUUGCACGCUCAUUAAUUUGAAAUUAUUUUAGAAAAUAUCGUCUUAUACACUUUUACUAUUUUCGAAUAUGCCCACGCAAUGUCUAACUGAUCGUCAUAAGAAAUCUGUUUUGUUUUGAGUCACAUCUGACGAACCAAGUCACAUUCGCGGGCAUUGUGUGAUCUGUAGUAUCCUACGUGAAUUGAUCUUAAGAAUUCAAAUAAUUAUUUCGCAAUUUCUCAGUUUGAAUUCCAUUAACUUUAUUUCGGGACUUGCCAGCCGGAUCAAGCAGCAGCUCAAACUAAUUUAAAGUGCAUAUCAGUGAGAUAAUAAUGUAUCUAAUAGCGCACGUCUGGGUCAUAAUUUUUCUAAUAUAUUUUGAGCUAUCGGACGAAAAUGUACUGGAACUAAUCACUCUGAUGUCGCAUGUAUAUUUAGUCAUGUUCACAAUGCUGUUCGCAUUACCGAUUAUUCACGAUGUGUUUAUACCUCAGGAAGACUUGGGAAGGAUAAUACGCUAUGUUAUAAUGUUAUGAUAAUGUUUUUUUUUCGCGGCAAUAAUUUUAGGUAUCCUGUUAUUUUCGUUUAACAGGAUUUUAAUCGAACAUUUUGACAAUCAUGAUUUAUUAGUACACAUAUUUAACUACUUGACUCAUUCCAUGACUUUUUGAAUUUUUAUUGUGUUAAAUUGAUUAGAUUAUUGCUUAUCUAAUUAAAUUUUCUGUGGAAUUUUCGAUGUGAAGCUUUUUCUCUCUCUGUAUUCCACUGUUUUACCCCGAAAUAAAUAUUCGAUGAAUAUAUAUAGCUAAAUAAUAUUCGUGAAGAUUGCAUAUGUGAGCAUGGAAAAAUGUAUUGACGAAAUUUGAUUCUGGAUUGAUGGAUUAAAAUUAAAUAUUGCAUUAAGCUCAUCAAGAGAAUGCGGCGAUGUUGUUUGAAUGCAAUGUCUGAUUUUGACGCAUUGGUUUUUAACGAGACAGGUAAAAACAAAUUAAAUCGCCGCAUUAGCAAGCACAUAAAUUAGCGAGUAAGUGAAUCUCGAGGAGUUACCGAAGAAUUUUAUUUUUAGAUUAAAACGAAUACGAUCAGAAGCGAAAUCCAAUAAUUCAUCAGAUCAGAUUCGAAGCAAGUGCAAGGAACAAUCGUAAGAACAAUCUAGCAUCGAGAGUCCUGCUGACAUAUUUUAAUAAACAAAAUUUACGUAUCGACGUAUUGGAUAUUGCUGUAAAAAUUGUGACAACGAUCACACACGGCUGGCAUAUAUAAUCCUACAGUUCAAACAAAAACCUUUUAGACGAGCGCAAAAACUAAGUACAGGCUUAACGAUCGGAGAUUUUUAGCGAUCCACACGAUGCUUUGCUCGCUAAACACGAGUUUGAGAAAACCAUAAUUGUAACAGUUCUUCGAUUAAACACAUAAUAAAUUAAAAACAUUGAACGAUAGAACAUUAUUGAUGACAUCACGAAUACUGAAGCGUGAAGAAUCCUCCAAAAGAUGUAACGGCUUACUAAAAACUUAACAAAAAAUGUACAGUUAUUAACAAGAAUUAUCGGGAUAUUCAAUAAACAAUGUUUAUAUUUUGACAUGCGAACUCUAAUUACAAGAACAAACAAUCAGUAAACGAUUAAUGUAGCCAGUUGGGUUCUUGACGGUUUAACUCUUGCGUAUUAAAUAUAAGACGUGUUUAAGAGUCUUAAAGUUAAGUAUUAAAUAUAAGAUAACUACAAUUUAAUUGUUACUUUGAUCUGUCACAUCUCUCCUUAAUUCUUAUCUGUUCAAUCUUUCGGCAUGAACGAGAUAAGAGAAAUAAUACGAACGGCAUCAUUUCUGGCAUACCAAAUUUCUCGAACUGAUCACUCUUGUUCGGAAUGAUUGCAGUCAAAAAUUUAUAUCGAUAUUGCAUCAAGUAUCUUUUUAAACUCCUUAUGAUAGCGUUAGUUUCAGAAAUAUUUCACUCGAAAACACAAAAAUUUUGUUUUAUAUUCAGAUAUAAAAUUACAUAAUGAUCAUGGAAUGACAAAUCGUAUAAUGGUAACCGUGCAAAUAUUUAUCCGUUUACAUUUGAUUAUUUUGUUAUUAGAUUAAUUCGAAAACGGGUAAUUUGUGCCAGAAAGAAGAGCCGUUGUCGAGAUAUUUUUUGAAAAGUUUAUUUAUCCCUAAGAGAUAUACAAAACAAACAUAUCUUCUCGUUUAACUAUCAUAAUUCCCCUAGUAGUAUAACACAGGAAAUUAAUGUCAUGAUCUUUUCGAAUACUCCGUUCGUUUUUUUUCUUUUUUUUUUAUUCAGUUGUCUCUCCCUAGAACGGAUACCGUGCCUCACACAAUAUCAGUAUCAGUUACAAUUCGCUCGUUCUUUUUAUAAUCAGCUAUAUGUUAAAAUUAUGCACAUCUCUGCAAAUCAGUAUUAAAAUAUUACAAUUUGAUAUUUUACAGUCGUUUGUUAUUCGCAUCCUCUAACUUCCUCUAGAAAACAGGUUCCUUUUCAUUCGUUCUGCUCAUCAUGUGUGUAUGUGUGUACAUGUAAGAACGUGUAUAUAUCGAUCAAUCAAUAUUUAAAAUCAUUUCCUUUUACGUUGACAAUGUGAACCAAUGUGUCCUAAAAACAGUAAGGAAAGGGGGAAGGGGAGACAAAGAAAGGUUUGACUUUAACUUUAAGAGAAGUGAUAUAGUGAUUUCAGAGAGCCAAAUAUCGAGGUGCAAGUGUCGGUCGAAUUAUAAUGAAGCUUCUAAAAUUUAUAUAAAUAUAUAUAUUUAUAUUUAUAUAUUUAUAUAAAUGCAUGUGCACGCGCAAGAUAAAUAAAUACAGAGAAACAUAUAAAAUAUAUAUUACUACACAUAUAUACUUUAUAUGUUUAGAUCCUUUUUACCGUUCGACGACAACGACGACGACGACGACGACGACGAUGAUGAUGAAGAGAAGAAGAAGUAGAAGAAGAAGAAACCAGUGAGAUCCUAUUUUUUUCCUUUCCUGUCUUUUUUCAUUUUUUUUUAUCUCAGCAUAUUAUUACUCGGCUGCUCUCGUUUCCCCUCUCUAAUCCCGAAUGCGAUCAGAAUCACUGUACACGCUAUAGGAUCUAGGAAUGUUAAUAUUACAAGAAACCACAAUAAUUUAUUAUAAUACAACCUGCUGUACACCAGAUGAUUCGAGGCAGUACAAGACAGAGAAACGCCUUUCUUCGCGGGGAGCUAUCUUCUACUAAUUCGCUCCCAGAAACAUGAUUCGACGAAGCAAAUGGCGAUCGUUAUAUCAUUCACGUGAGUCUCGAGAUGAGAGAUUUGAACGUAUUUUGCUUUACUACUUUUAUUUUCUGAAGUUAAAAACGAAUGUCAGAGGGAGAAUGGCGAUGGCAAGGGGCAGGGACCACUUCAGUAUCGACUAAAAAACAGAGAGAGAGAAAAGAGAGAGAAAAGAGAGAGAGAGAGAGAGAGAGAGAGAGAGUAGAAGAUAAAGAGAGAAAAAGUUGAACGGAGAGAAAACAAAGUACAAAACAUUGUCUUUUGUCAUGCGCUAAAAGCGACAGAAGGAAAACAAAGUAAAAAAAACGACUCUGCUGAUAUCUUUAAUUACUGAAAUCAAAUUCGGGAUUAAUGAACAAAAAUUUGAUGUCUACUAUUAAAAUGAGUGCCAGGAAAUCGCGUUAUCGUUUCGCGUUACAAUUCAUCUUCGUGGUCUUACAAGGAAAAUAGUUUCGUGGCUGCAGUGGCGAUAGCUUACACGAGGCCGCCGGCAGCCCCGAAACAGCGCGAAUGUAUCUAUGAUAAAAAAAAUGGUAUUUUAAUUUCAUGAAAUAUACAACAGUCGUCGUUUUGUCAAGUAUUAGGACUCGACGAUGCCGCUGCUCCAUGGCGCUGGGAUACCGUGACAGUAAUUUUGAUUUAAUAUUAGCCCUUGCAUAUGAAAUGUCGGUUUUAUCAACAAUUUUUUUCAGAGAUUACUUUCGAGGAAACAAAAGUACAUGUACGAUACAAAUGUAUAAUGUGAAUAAUAUAUAAAUGUAUAUAUAAUAUAAAUAUCAACUAAAAAAGAUUCCAUGAUUUUCCAUGAGUUUCUCAAAAAUAUGAAAAUAUAUAAUAUCCCAAUAAACAUACAAUAUCUCAAUAAUCUUAUCUCGAUCGAUACGUUCCACAAAAAUCAGCAAGUUAAACGUAAAAAGGAUUUAAAAUUGUAUAUAAACAUGAUUUUCCUUCAUUAUAUUGUGUGAAUAUGUUAAAUUUUUUCUAUGCUAAUAUUCAUUUCUCUCACGUUAAUGUGACUCUUCUUAAACAUGGAAGUGAUACUACAUAAAUUUUUUCUAUAACAAUUGUCUUAUAACUAUUGUUAUUGUGUUAAUAAUAUUAUCAAUAUUAUUAAUAUCAUCGUAUAAUAUUAUUAAUAUCAAUAAUAUCACAACGACUUUAAAAUUAAAAAGUAAGUUGUAUAUUGGAUUCCUCAAUUUUCUCUCUACGUUCCGACAAAUUUCUAUUUGAAACUUAUAUAAAAGAAUUCAUGUAUAAACAUACUGUGCAAAAAACUGAAAGGUAUUUUUGUAAAAGAAUCGUGUCACUUCAACGUGAUGUGUAUAACGUGAUAAUGGUCACUAAAAAACGUCAACUUCUCGUAUAAGAGCGACAUCUCAUAUGCAACGAUCGAAUGGAAGCUGCGAGCUACAUGCACACGCACUCCGUCUCUUUCUCUCUCUAUCGUUCUCUUUCUCUCUCUCUCUCUCUCUCACACACACACACACACACAAUUCUCUUAAUUCGAUUCAUCGCAUCGAGCAAUCGCUUAUCAGCUACGUAAUUAAGGCUCAAUCACGUGGUGGCUCGUAGCUCGUAACACCGCCGUGUAGUGUCAAGAAAAAGAGUAAAUCGCAUGCUUAAAAAAAAAGACGUAGAGAGUCGCAAAGAAUCCAGGUCUGUGUUAAGAUACACUUAAUACUAAACGCACUUACAACUAUUACAAGAGACAUGUACUCGGUUGUUAAAUCAAUUACAAAAAAAA